GACGAACGCUGGCGGCGUGCUUAACACAUGCAAGUCGAACGAAGUGGCGAACGGGUGAGUAACGCGUAAUCAACCUGCCCUUCAGAGGGGGACAACAGUUGGAAACGACUGCUAAUACCGAAUACUGAAGGAGGGGCAUGCGUCGGCUUAGCGAGUUGGAGGGGUAACGGCCCACCAAGGGGAUGAUCAGUAGCCGGUCUGAGAUGAGGAAUGGCAACAUUUGGACUGAGACACGUCCCAGAUCCCUACGGGAGGCAGCAGUGGGGAAUCUUCCGCAAUGGACGAAAGUCUGACGGAGCAACGCCGCGUGAGUGAUGACGGCCUUCGGGUUGUAAAGCUCUGUUAAUCGGGACGCGGUACCGGAAUAGAAAGCCACGGCUAACUACGUGCCAGCAGCCGCGGUAAUAC
rnacentral:rRNA from 1 species